CUGUGGGAGUUGUAGUCCAUCUCCUCCUAAGAGACUGGGCAAAUGGCACACCAGCGGGCGGGGCUUUUCUUCACGGCUGGAAUCAUGGGAAGAGAUUAGUGGCGAGAAGCGCCCACCCGGGAAGAGGAAGAAGCGCGAGAUACUAUGGGAUCCUAAAUUAAUUGGUCCUUCUUAAAGGCCAUGGGUAAAAGACUGAGAGCAUUUGUUUUUGAACUGUUUGAAAACACUGAACUGAGAUCUUCUUAUCAUCAGAGAGUCACACCACGGAAUGUGAUUUCAUGCUCCCUGAAGUCAACUUGUCUAGACCAUCUUUUUUCCAGAUGUGGGAAGGAUUGUCACAUAGCAUACUGUGAGGCAGAAGUAUCCAACUAGCACAUUCUGUCCCGGUGGGUACCAAUCCGUAUAACAAAGACCUUGACCUACCUACCUCCAGUCAGU